rnacentral:rRNA from 1 species
UACGAAGGAUCCAAGCGUUGUCCGGAUUUACUGGGUUUAAAGGGCGCGUAGGCGGACUAUUAAGUCAGUGGUGAAAGCUUGCAGCUUAACUGUAAAAUUGCCAUUGAAACUGAUAGUCUUGAAUAUGGUUGAGGUGGUUGGAAUAUAUCAUGUAGCGGUGAAAUGCUUAGAUAUGAUAUAGAACACCGAUUGCGAAGGCAGAUCACUAAACCAUUAUUGACGCUGAGGCUCGAAAGCGUGGGGAUCAAACAGG